rnacentral:ncRNA from 2 species
ACACUGCGCCCGCUUCGAGGUGACCCGGCGGCGUCCUGCCGGCGGGUUGAAACGGGAAGCCGGUGACGCCGCGGACGCGGUCAGCCCGGCACUGCCCCCGCAACGGUAAGCGAGCCAUGCCACGGCUCACCGCCACUGUGCACACGCAUGGGAAGGCGCCGCGGCAGGUACCGGUCAUCCGGUACCACUCGCGAGUCCGGAGACCGGCCCCGGAGCUGACUGGUUG